rnacentral:rRNA from 1 species
GACGUAGGGCGCGAGCGUUGUCCGGAUUUAUUGGGCGUAAAGAGCUCGUAGGCGGCUUGUCGCGUCGACUGUGAAAACCCGUGGCUCAACCAUGUGGUCUGCAGUCGAUACGGGCAGGCUAGAAUUCGGUAGGGGAGACUGGAAUUCCUGGUGUAGCGGUGAAAUGCGCAGAUAUCAGGAGGAACACCGGUGGCGAAGGCGGUUCUCUGGGCCUUACCUGACGCUGAGGAGCGAAAGCGCGGGGAGCAAACAGG